CAGUUAGAAGGCCACUGAGAAGCCACCAAAAAAAAGGGAUCCGCUGUGAAAGAAAAGCAAUUUGGACUCUUUUCAUCCUCUAAAGCAGCAUCUUUUUUUGUUUGGGUCAAAUAUAGUUUGAGACUGGACAUUCAGGAACAUGAGUAACUGCUGAUUAUCUUCUUCACUGCCUGCUUGAUUUUAUUAAUGGAGGUGGCCUUUUUCUUUGUUGUGGUUUUGCUUAAAGCGCCGAGUGCAAAAUGUCUGUUAAAGGUCGGGGUCCUUUAGAACACAAGAUGAACUGGUUACAUUGUUUUGAAUCUACUGUUUGGUCCGUCGGUUCAUGAUUUUUGAAACUUAGUGCUCCUGGUGGGUUAGAAAUGUGAACUGAACUAAACAUUGUUGAAUAUGCAAUGGAUGUUGUUGAUUUCAUACGAGUAGGUGACGGACGAGCAAGCAUAAUUUUCAUCUUUUUUCUUUCAAAGAAGAAAAAAAGGCCAAGGGAGGAAAUGAGAAGCAGAGAAGAUCCUCAGAACAAAGAGGUUGGACUAUCCCACUGGUGGGACUGGUCUCACAUGUGACAUG
rnacentral:lncRNA from 1 species